UACGGAGGGUGCGAGCGUUGUCCGGAAUCAUUGGGCGUAAAGGGCGCGUAGGUGGCCCAGCAAGCGUGCGAUGAAAGCUCGGGGCUCAACCCCGAGUCGGCCGUGCGAACUGCUGGGCUGGAGCACUGUAGAGGCAGGCGGAAUUCCGGGUGUAGCGGUGGAAUGCGUAGAGAUCCGGAAGAACACCGGUGGCGAAGGCGGCCUGCUGGGCAGUUGCUGACACUGAGGCGCGACAGCGUGGGGAGCAAACAGG
rnacentral:rRNA from 1 species